UUCCAAGCAGAGGGUGGUGUACACGCCUGGACCCAGCUCUCCCAGCCUUCUGGCCUGACUCCUUAACGUGUGCUGGGCUGUGAAAGUCAUCUGUGAUUGCCUGGCUGCUCUACAGGCAGAAAAGCUGCUGCUGCUGCUGCUAGUGAGGCUGUGCUGUUUUCCUCUUUGUUGAUAUUUGAUAUCAUUAAUGGCCAUGGCUGCGUCAAAUGCUCUCCUCCUAGCUUCGUUGGCCAGAGAGAUCAUCCAGCCUGGCCAGAAGAAACAUCACCACAUCAGCAAAGCCAUGGCCAAACAGAUGCUGGAGCGUGAGAUGUAUCUGCACCAGGAGUUGAUUCAGUUGCUGCAGGAGAUCAAGAACAGCAAGAAUGCAGAGGAAGCGUGGCUCUUUUCUGGGUGGCUGUUUUGGACUGCUGCAGUUGGCCUGGUUCUGCUUGCUGUCAUCUGCUGGCUGGCCAGGCGGAGAAGGAAGCGCCAGGCAUCCCCUCAAUCGUUUAGAGUCUUCUGGCCUGAUCUCCCAGAAGACAUCGCUAAGAUUGAUAUUGGAUUAAGUGUUUAUGAGAACAACCGUGCAAGGCGCAACAACUUGGCCUUGGAUUUUCCCAGUUCUUAAGUUUGUCUAGGUUGUCUGGAUGGCAUCCCUUGCAUCCACUGUGUCAACUGCUUCAUUAUGUUUUCAUAUAGGACUAAGGGAGUCCUAUUAAAAUUUGGGAAAGCAA